rnacentral:sRNA from 1 species
CCCAAUCCGCCAGGCUUGGACGACGGCCGCC